UGGGGAAUAUUGGACAAUGGGCGAAAGCCUGAUCCAGCCAUGCCGCGUGUGUGAAGAAGGUCUUCGGAUUGUAAAGCACUUUAAGUUGGGAGGAAGGGCAGUAACCUAAUACGUUGCUGUCUUGACGUUACCGACAGAAUAAGCACCGGCUAACUCUGUGCCAGCAGCCGCGGUAAUACAGAGGGUGCAAGCGUUAAUCGGAAUUACUGGGCGUAAAGCGCGCGUAGGUGGUUUGUUAAGUUGGAUGUGAAAUCCCCGGGCUCAACCUGGGAACUGCAUUCAAAACUGUCGAGCUAGAGUAUGGUAGAGGGUGGUGGAAUUUCCUGUGUAGCGGUGAAAUGCGUAGAUAUAGGAAGGAACACCAGUGGCGAAGGCGACCACCUGGACUGAUACUGACACUGAGGUGCGAAAGCGUGGGGAGCAAACAGGAUUAGAUACCCAGGUAGUCCCUGAGCGGGCUGGCAAGGCGCAU
rnacentral:rRNA from 1 species